rnacentral:misc_RNA from 1 species
AACGCACGAGACCUGCGGACCUGCGGAGGGAUCAUUACAGAGUUCAUGCCCUCCGGGUAGAUCUCCCACCCACUGCUAUCACUACUCUCGUUGCUUUGGCGGGCCGCUGGGCCCUGCCCGGCCGCCGGCCCCGGCUGGCGCGUGCCCGCCAGAGACCUCACAGACUCUGAAUGUUAGUGUCGUCCGAGUAACUAUACAAUCGUUAAAACUUUCAGCAACGGAUCUCUAGAUCGGAAGAGC